GGAGACGGUCGGAUAGCCGCUGUCGCGCAAGCGAUGGAGGAAAGUCCGGGCUCCACAGGGCAGACUGCCAGGUAACGCCUGGGAGGCGCGAGCCUACGGAAAGUGCCACAGAAAACAGACCGCCGAACCCGGUGUCCGGGUGGCAAGGGUGAAAAGGUGCGGUAAGAGCGCACCGCGCUGCCGGCAACGGCAGUGGCAGGGUAAACCCCAGUCGGAGCAAGACCAAAUAGGGAAGCCUGCGCAUUGCGCAACCUGCGGCCCGCAGGUGCUUCCGGGUAGGUCGCUCGAGGCGUCCGGUGACGGGCGUCCCAGAUGAAUGGCUAUCGGUGGCGGGAUCCGCCACCCACAGAACCCGGCUUACAGACCGUCUCCCACC
rnacentral:RNase_P_RNA from 1 species